GUAGUCAUAUGCUUGUCUCAAAGAUUAAGCCAUGCAUGUCUAAGUUUAAGCAAUCUAAACAGUGAAACUGCGAAUGGCUCAUUAACUCAGUUAUAAUUUAUUUGAUAGUGCAACCUUUACUUGGAUACCCCGGGUAAAUCUCGAGCUAACACAUGCUAAAAUAGGCGAGGCCUCGGCUGAGCUUAGUGUUUAUUAGAUAAAAAAUCAAUGCUUCUCGGAGCUGUUUGAUGAUUCAUAAUAACCUUUCGAAUCACAUGGCCUUGUGCCGGCGAUGGUUCAUUCAAAUUUCUGCCCUAUCAACUUUCGAUGGUAGGAUAGUGGCCUACCAUGGUUUCAACGGGUAACGGGGAAU
rnacentral:rRNA from 1 species